rnacentral:rRNA from 1 species
CAGCUUCGCACGGGGACACCCCUGCGAUAGUAACUGAGACAACUCUCAACAACGGAUAUCUUGGCUCUCGCAACGAUGAAGAACGCAGCGAAAUGCGAUACGUAGUGUGAAUUGCAGAAUUCCGUGAGUCAUCGAAUCUUUGAACGCACAUUGCCGGUCGACUCUUCGGAGGAGACCACAUCUGCCUCAGCGUCGGAAUA